GAUGAACGCUGGCGGCGUGCCUAAUACAUGCAAGUCGAGCGAACAGACGAGGAUCUUUCUCCUCUCUCGUGUGCGGCGGGCGCGUGAGUAACACGUGCGUGACCUCCAUAUAUGACUGGGGUAACUCCUGGAAACCUCAGAUCAUAUACGAUAAUAUAUUGAACCUCAUGGUUCGAUAGUGAAAGAGGCGUUUGCGCUGACUUAUAUAUAUAUCCGCGCUGCAUUAGCUAGUUGGUAAGGUAACGGCUUACCAAGGCAACGAUGCGUAGCCGACCUGAGAGGGUGAUCGGCCACACUGGGACUGAGACACGGUCCAGACUCCUACGGGAGGCAGCAGUAGGGAAUCUUCCGCAAUGGGCGAAAGCCUGACGGAGCAAUGCCGCGUGAGUGAAGAAGGUCUUCGGAUCGUAAAACUCUGUUGUUAGGGAAGAACAAGUGCGUAAGUAACUGAGCGCGUCUUGACGGUAACUAAUCAGAAAGCCACGGCUAACUACGUG
rnacentral:rRNA from 1 species